UGAACGCUGGCGGUGUGCUUAACACAUGCAAGUCGUACGAGGUUUAUUUAGACUUCUGUUUGAAUAAACUGCAGUGGCGGACGGGUGCGUAACGCGUAAGAACUUACCUUUUGGAGGGGGAUAACAAUGGGAAACCGCUGCUAAUACCCCAUAAUGCUGAGGAGCUAAAUGGUGAAUAACCGCCAAGAGAGAGGCUUGCGUCUGAUUAGCUGGUUGGUGGGGGUAAUGGCCUCCCAAGGCAACGAUCAGUAGCUGGUCUGAGAGGAUGAUCAGCCACACUGGGACUGAGACACGGCCCAGACUCCUACGGGAGGCAGCAGUGAGGAAUUUUCCACAAUGGGCGCAAGCCUGACGGAGCAACGCCGCGUGAGGGAUGAAGGCCUCUGGGCUGUAAACCUCUUUUAUCAAGGAAGAAGAUCUGACGGUACUUGAUGAAUAAGCCACGGCUAAUUCCGCGCCAGCAGCCGCGGUAAUCUGAUG
rnacentral:rRNA from 1 species